rnacentral:tRNA from 1 species
GCCUGGAUGGCUCAGUCGGUUAAGCGUCCGACUUCAGCUCAGGUCACGAUCUCGCGGUCCGUGGGUUCGAGCCCCGCGUCGGGCU